rnacentral:lncRNA from 1 species
UCUAUCCACUCGUCAAUGACUUACUUGAUGCUGCAGUUGUAUGGCUGGUCCUUUGACCUGCGAUGCCUCGGCUAUUCAUAGUGAGGUUGCUGUAGUUUGACAAGCACAUAAACAUGGGCCCUAUCCAUUUGGAUCCUUGUGGUGCAGAUUGGCUGCAGUAGGUUCAUUGCAGGAGUAUAGUGCAUCUAGAUAGAAUCUAUCGACCUUGAUAGAUUAGGAGAGUCCUAUGUGAUUUAUGAGACUGAGUUCGUAAAUCCUUGGCCAAGGUAGUUUUUGGAAAAAGAGUUUUUCAAUCUCGAACUGGAGUUGAAUAAAUUUUACAUAUGAUAGAUGAUGGAGUUUGACGAGUUAUCCAUGACCUCCAUCCUGUCGGGAUCCACGAUAGAGGAACUGUAUCAUACGCUAACUGCACCUAGAGGUUCAUCUAUUCCAUUCUACUGGGUUGCCACUACAUGCUGCUAGGUGUCACUGGUGGAUUGUGAGACUCAGAGACAUUCACUUGAUGAUCACUGAACCCAAAUGAGAAGAGUUGGAAUUGUUCCAACCCAUUGAAAGGAGUUUCAAUGAUAUUGUGAUAGGGAUCACAAUAUAUCUCACUACCAGAUAGAAUAGAACCUAUGGGGUCACACAUAAUAGAGGAUCUGAUUGAUCUAAUGGUUGGAUUGUGAUUUGGAAUCACAAUGGUUUGUAAUUAUCAAUUUGAUUGAUAAUUAGUUUAACCCACUAAAAGUUAGUGAGUUGAAGAAGGGAUUAAUUGCAAUUAGAUUGCAAUUUGAUUGAAUCAAUUGGACUUAAUUAAUUGGGCUCGAUCUUAUUUGAUAAGGUUCAAGAGUCCUACUUGAAGUAGGACUCCUAGAGUUCUAAUAAGAUUAGGACUUCAAAUUAUUAGAGUCCUACUUGGAGUAGGAUUCCUAAAGUCCUAAUUAGAUUAGGACUAAAAUUAUAUGAAUCCUAAUUGGAUUAGGAUUCCUAGAGUCCUAAUUAAUUUUGGUUUAAUAGAUAAAGAUGACUCCUAAUUAGAUUAGGAUUCAUGUGAAUCAAAUAGAGAGAUUAAUUGGGUCCUAAUUAGAUUGGGUUUCAAUAAACCAAGGGCCACCUAAAUCCUAAUUUGAUUAGGAUUAGAAGGGAGGGGCAAGAGCCCCUCCUUUCCUCAGAUGCUCCCAGGACCCGCAUCCCGGUUGGCCGGAAUGCGCAUCCCGGGCGUCCGGGACUCGCGUCCCGGGCGUCCAGGAUGCGAGACCCGUGGCGUGGCUUCUCUUAUAUAUAUGAGGAGGCCACACCUAGGGCAAGCAUGAGAAAAGAAAAGAGGAUUUUUCUUUCAUGUUGGCGGCCCUCCUCUUCUCCCUAGAGCUUUUCUUUCAUGAUGGCGGCCUCUCAUCUUCUUCCUUCUUCCAUCCACAAGGGCCAAAGAAAAGGGGCAGCAAGCAAGGUUGGUCUUCUUCCUCUUCUUCAUCAGCCACAUGAAAGAAACCAUAGAGAGGAAGGUGUUCCUCUCUUCCCUCCUUCUUCAUCCAUGGUAAAGGAAAGGCAAGAAAGUGUUUCUUCCUUCUCCUUCUUCUUCCUCUUAGAAGCAAUCAAGAGUUGAUUGCUUAGAGGAGUUCCAACCAUCAAAAGGGAUCUCUGCAAGGGAGCUAGCACCCCGGUGAGAUCGCAACCUCGAUCAAUCCAGAUCUUCGUGUGGAUACCCGUAGAGGCCGAACACUUGUGUGGCUUCAAGCGAACCUGAUUUUCACGAUCAUCAAAUAGCGGUGAAGAUCUACCCGCUCAAAGAUAAAAAUUUGAUCUUUAUAAUUUUUAAUUGUAGAUCUGAAAAUUAAUCAAGUAAUUAAUUUUAAUCCUUUCCUUCAGAUUUCAUGAUCUUCUGAGUUAGAGAACUCAGAAUUUUUUUGAAAUCUACGUUCCUCGGGACGUUCAUGAGAUGAACGACCCCGCGCGCGUCUUUCCGCUGCAAUCGUCGCAACGUGUGCAGAGGUAACCCGACAGUCAUUUGGCUCUUUAUUAUACAGGUGACUUGAGCAGUUCCCCAUUUUCAUUAUUGGUGCAAUAUUGAGGAUCUCUCUGAAAUAAAUUGGUCGGUAGAGACUAUUGACCGCAAAGUUGCAGCCGUGCAUAAUAAAGAUCACUGUUUCUCAAUAUUAUAAUUAUAACAAAGAAGAAUGGUUCAUGAGACAACAGAAAGAAAGAAUGAAAGAAGAAAAGAAAGAAAGAAUGAAGGAAUGAAAGAAAGAAAGAAGGAACGAAAGAAAAGGAACAAAAGAAAAAACAAAUGAUAGAAAGAAGGAAAGAAAGAAAGAAAGAAAGAAAUAACGAAAUAAAGAAAGAACGAAAGGAAGGAAGGAAGGAAGGAAGGAGAAGAAGAAUAUUUUGAAUAACAUGGAUUUCAUCUUUAUAUUAAUUUAUAUUUGCACUAUUAUUUGCAUAUAUUUUUAUUGUGUACAUCUACAAGUGUUACUUAGGAAUACAAAUAUGGGUAGAUAGGCAACAGUUACAAAACGUCCUUGCCUGAAUGAGAUUUAAAUUUUAAAGUGUCCAGCAUUACAUGCAUACAUAAAGCCAACAUUUUUUAUGAAUAUUAAAAUAUUAUUUUAUAUUAAAAAAUGUUUUUGAGAAAAAAUGUUUUAUUCAAAAUUAUUAAAAUUUUGUUUAAUGACCUUUGGUACAUCACUAGCUUGUCUAAUGUAAAUUUAAUCUUUGAAUUAAUUUAUAGUUGCACCUAACUGUUUUCAGAAAUUUUGUUCUGUUACAUCUGCAAGUAUCAUGUACGAACACAAACAUGGGUAUGUCAAUGGAAGUUCUGAAACUUCCUAUGAGAUUCAGAUUUUAAAAUAGUAACAUUAAAAAGAUUAAGGAUUUGAUUUUUUGGAAACCAAUAAAACAUAAACGCUAUUUUCUUAAUAGAGAUAACAGAAAGUAUUAAAGAAUUGACAAUUUUUCGGAAGUUGGAUGAAAGGCCAAUUUUUUUAGGAAUAAUUUUCGGGGGUGGGGGGGGAAGGGGGUGUGGGGGGUAUGUAAAUCAGCCUCUGCUCAUUUGAGUAGUUGGUGGAGCCAGUAGAUUAUCUAUGCUUCUAGUUCUUUAUAGUCCUCAAGCAUCUCAAAAUUCAUCAGUGAAAACUUAGCCACAGCUGUUUUCAAUCCAUUCUAAAAAGGAUGCAACUUUCAGCGAUGCUUGCUAUUGGUCAAUAUAGAGUCACCUCCACUUACAAAUAAGAAAAAUUGUUCUUUGUAUAAUGAAGAGAAUGAUUNN